GAUGAAGAACGCAGCGAAAUGCGAUACGUAAUGUGAAUUGCAGAAUUCAGUGAAUCAUCGAAUCUUUGAACGCAUAUUGCGCUCUCUGGUAUUCCGGAGAGCAUGCUUGUUUGAGUAUCAGUAAACACCUCAACUCCCUUUUCUUUUUUGAAAUUGGAGCUGGACUUGAGUGAUCCCAACGCUUUCUUCCAAGAAAGUGGCGGGUUGCUUGAAAUGCAGGUGCAGCUGAACUUUUCUCUGAGCUAAAAGCAUAUCUAUUUAGUCUGCCUAAAAAACAGAUUAUUACCUUUGCUGCAGCUAACAUAAAGGAGACUAGUUCUUGUGCUGACUGAUGCAGGAUUCACAGAGACAGCUUCGGCUGACUUUGUAAACUCGAUCUCAAAUCAAGUAAGACUACCCGCUGAACUUAAGCAUAUCAAUAAGCGGAGGA
rnacentral:misc_RNA from 1 species